rfam:Microgenomates (Woesebacteria) bacterium GW2011_GWA1_39_21 TT39_C0002, whole genome shotgun sequence.
GCCAAGGUAGCUCAGUGGAAGAGCACGCGUUUCAUAAGCGCGGUGUCGAGAGUUCGAUCCUCUCCCUUGGCA